GCUGUGGUGGCAAAAAUGGUUAAGUACUCGACUGCUAACUGAAAGACUGGUGGUUCAAACCCACCCAGCAGCU
rnacentral:tRNA from 1 species